CCCGUCACUUAGCGGUUCAGCAAAAGAGACCGAUAGAAUAAAAUAAGUCCCGGGGUUGGUUUGCUUGAUUAAAGGUGGUGCUUCAGCAUGGCCGCUGUCAAAUGACUGAAACAAGUUAAAGAAAAAAAAAGUGUAUGUUUAAAUGUUGGUGUAUUGACAGCAUGGGGAAAAUGGUCAUAAAA